UUUGAUCAUGGCUCAGAUUGAACGCUGGCGGCAGGCCUAACACAUGCAAGUCGAGCGCGAAAGGCUUUCGGGCUGAGUAGAGCGGCGGACGGGUGAGUAACGCGUAGGAAUCUACCUGGUAGUGGGGGACAACUUGGGGAAACUCAAGCUAAUACCGCAUACGCCCUAAGGGGGAAAGCGGGGGACCUUCGGGCCUCGUGCUAUCGGAAGAGCCUGCGUAGGAUUAGCUAGUUGGUGAGGUAAAGGCUCACCAAGGCGACGAUCCUUAGCUGGUCUGAGAGGAUGAUCAGCCACACUGGGACUGAGACACGGCCCAGACUCCUACGGGAGGCAGCAGUGGGGAAUAUUGGACAAUGGGCGCAAGCCUGAUCCAGCCAUGCCGCGUGUGUGAAGAAGGCCUUCGGGUUGUAAAGCACUUUAAGUGGGGAGAAAGGCCCGUUGGUUAAUAGCCAACGGGAUUGAUGUUACCCCACAGAAUAAGCACCGGCUAACUCCGUGCCAGCAGCCGCGGUAAUACGGAGGGUGCGAGCGUUAAUCGGAAUUACUGGGCGUAAAGCGCGCGUAGGCGGUUUGUUAAGUCAGCUGUGAAAGCCCCGGGCUCAWCCUGGGAACUGCAGUUGAUACUGGCCKACUAGAGUACGAGAGAGGGAGGUAGAAUUCC
rnacentral:rRNA from 1 species